rnacentral:rRNA from 1 species
UACGGGGGGGGCAAGCGUUGUUCGGAAUUACUGGGCGUAAAGGGCUCGUAGGCGGCCAACUAAGUCAGACGUGAAAUCCCUCGGCUUAACCGGGGAACUGCGUCUGAUACUGGAUGGCUUGAAUCCGGGAGAGGGAUGCGGAAUUCCAGGUGUAGCGGUGAAAUGCGUAGAUAUCAGGAAGAACAUCGGUGGCGAAGGCGCUCUGCUGGACCAUAACUGACACUCAGGGACGAAAGCUAGGGGAGCGAAUGGG